GACGAACGCUGGCGGCGUGCUUAACACAUGCAAGUCGUACGGUAAGGCCCUUUCGGGGGUACACGAGUGGCGAACGGGUGAGUAACACGUGAGUAACCUGCCCACAACUUUGGGAUAACGCUAGGAAACUGGUGCUAAUACUGGAUAUGUGCUCCUGCUGCAUGGUGGGGGUUGGAAAGCUCCGGCGGUUGUGGAUGGACUCGCGGCCUAUCAGCUUGUUGGUGGGGUAGUGGCCUACCAAGGCGGCGACGGGUAGCCGGCCUGAGAGGGUGACCGGCCACAUUGGGACUGAGAGACGGCCCAGACGCCUACGGGAGGCAGCAGUGGGGAAUAUUGCACAAUGGGCGCCAGCCUGAUGCAGCAACGCCGCGUGCGGGAUGACGGCCUUCGGGUUGAAAACCGCUUUCAGCAGGGACGAAGCUUUUUGUGACGGUACCUGCAGAAGAAGCACCGGCUAACUACGUG
rnacentral:rRNA from 1 species